rnacentral:rRNA from 1 species
UACGUAGGGGGCUAGCGUUGUCCGGAUUUAUUGGGCGUAAAGAGCGUGUAGGCGGCCAGGUAGGUCUGGUGUGAAAACUCGAGGCUUAACCUCGAGCUGUCGGCGGAAACCAUCUGGCUAGAGUCCGGAAGAGGAGAAUGGAAUUCCCGGUGUAGCGGUGAAAUGCGCAGAUAUCGGGAAGAACACCCGUGGCGAAGGCGGUUCUCUGGGCCGAUAUUGACGCUGAGGAGCGAAAGCGUGGGGAGCGAACAGG